rnacentral:rRNA from 1 species
UACGAAGGGGGCUAGCGUUGCUCGGAAUCACUGGGCGUAAAGGGUGCGUAGGCGGGUCUUUAAGUCAGGGGUGAAAUCCUGGAGCUCAACUCCAGAACUGCCUUUGAUACCGAAGAUCUUGAGUUCGGGAGAGGUGAGUGGAACUGCGAGUGUAGAGGUGAAAUUCGUAGAUAUUCGCAAGAACACCAGUGGCGAAGGCGGCUCACUGGCCCGAUACCGACGCUGAGGCACGAAAGCGUGGGGAGCAAACAGG